UUUGAAGGUAGGAUUUUCUAGAAUAGCCAACACUUGGUAAGCUUUUGGACUCCAAGGAGACAUCCAUUAGUUAUCUCUUGCGAGCUUUUGACGGGUAAUCCAAGGUUAAAGAUCACCUUGAAUGGCAAGUGCUAGGUGAGAGGUAUGAGUCAUUGCAAGGUGCAUCAGUGAGAGGGAUUUAGUGUUUGAACCCAUUAAUGGGAAGCAUCUGUACAGCACCGGUUAGAGAAUUAACUAUAUGUUAAUUCUCUAAUGCGAGGAAAAUAAACAAGUGACCGAAACUCUCCUUUUUGUAUGAGGAACCUGAGCCUAGUGAUCUGAACUCCA
rnacentral:lncRNA from 1 species